AUUGAACGCUGGCGGCAGGCCUAACACAUGCAAGUCGAACGAGUGGCGGACGGGUGAGUAAUGUCUGGGAAACUGCCCGAUGGAGGGGGAUAACUACUGGAAACGGUGGCUAAUCACGCAUACCAUCUGAUGUGCCCAUCUGGGAUUAGCUAGUAGGUGGGGUAAAGGCUCACCUAGGCGACGAUCCCUAGCUGGUCUGAGAGGAUGACCAGCCACACUGGAACUGAGACACGGCCCAGACUCCUACGGGAGGCAGCAGUGGGGAAUAUUGCACAAUGGGCGCAAGCCUGAUGCAGCCAUGCCGCGUGGAUGAAGAAGGCCUUCGGGUCGUAAAGUACUUUCAGCGGGGAGGCGUUACCUGCAGAAGAAGCACCGGCUAACUCCGUGCCAGCAGCCGCGGUAAUUC
rnacentral:rRNA from 1 species